rnacentral:rRNA from 1 species
CCUACGGGGGGCAACAGUAGGGAAUCUUUCACAAUGGGCGAAAGCCUGAUGGAGCAACGCCGCGUGCAGGAUGAAGGCCUUCGGGUUGUAAACUGCUUUUAUAAGCGAGAAAUAUGAUGGUAACUUAUGAAUAAGGAUCGGCUAACUACGUGCCAGCAGCCGCGGUAAUACGUAGGGGGCAAGCGUUAUCCGGAUUUACUGGGUGUAAAGGGAGCGUAGACGGCAGUGCAAGUCUGGGGUGAAAGGCGGGGGCUCAACCCCCGGACUGCUCGGGAAACUGUACGGCUGGAGUGCAGGAGAGGUAAGUGGAAUUCCUAGUGUAGCGGUGAAAUGCGUAGAUAUUAGGAGGAACACCAGUGGCGAAGGCGGCUUACUGGACUGUAACUGACGUUGAGGCUCGAAAGCGUGGGGAGCAAACAGGAUUAGAUACCCCUGUAGUC